AACAAGGAUUCCCCUAGUAACGGCGAGUGAACCGGGAAGAGCUCAAAUUUGAAAUCUGGCGUCCUCAGGGCGUCCGAGUUGUAAUCUAWAGAGGCGUUUUCCGUGCCGGACCGUGUCCAAGUUCCUUGGAACAGGAUAUCAAAGAGGGUGACAAUCCCGUACUUGACACGACGACCGGUGCUCUGUGAUACGUCUUCUACGAGUCGAGUUGUUUGGGAAUGCAGCUCAAAAUGGGUGGUGAGUUCCAUCUAAAGCUAAAUAUUGGCGAGAGACCGAUAGCGAACAAGUWCCGUGAGGGAAAGAUGAAAAGCACUUUGGAAAGAGAGUUAAACAGUACGUGAAAUUGUUGAAAGGGAAACGAUUGAAGUCAGUCGUGACCGAGAGGCUCAGCCGGCUCUGCCGGUGUAUUCCCCUCGGUCGGGUCAACAUCAGUUUUGUCCGGUGGAUAAGGGCGGUAGGAAGGUGGCACCCUCGGGUGUGUUAUAGCCUGCCGUCGCAUACAUCGGGUGAGACUGAGGAACGCAGCUCGCCUUUAUGGCCGGGGU
rnacentral:rRNA from 1 species